rnacentral:rRNA from 1 species
UGCGCAGGCGGCUUACUAAGUCAGUGGUGAAAUAUUGCGGCUUAACCGUAAAAUUGCCAUUGAUACUGGUAAGCUUGAAUUCAGUUGAGGUUGGCGGAAUGUGUAAUGUAGCGGUGAAAUGCUUAGAUAUUACACAGAACACCGAUUGCGAAGGCAGCUAGCUAAACUGACAUUGACGCUGAGGCACGAAAGCGUGGGGAGCGAACAGGAUUAGAUACCCUGGUAGUCC